GCUGAAAGCAUCUAAGUGUGAAACUCGCCUCAAGAUGAGAUUUCCCAUUCCUAUAUGGAAGUAAGACCCCUGAGAGAUGAUCAGGUAGAUAGGCUAGAAGUGGAAGUGCAGCGAUGCAUGGAGCGGACUAGUACUAAUCGGUCGAGGACUUAACCAC
rnacentral:ncRNA from 1 species